AUGAAGUGUGACGAUUGUGAGUUAUGGAAGGAAGCCGGGGCAUCUAGCGGACAAACCGGUGUGGAUGCACGCUUGAAGGGUUUACUUUAAAGGUAAUUAGGUGGGUCUCAUGGAUGGCGAUCAAGUGAUUAAAUGAAGAACCGAACACUCCAUUUUGAAGCUUCCGCAAUGACUUAAAUCUUUUGUAGUUUUGUGUAUGGAUGUUGAACACGUGUUGAACGAAUUAUAAAACGAUUUGCCUUGGUCAUUAGUUGACUAAAGUCUUGUUACUUAUGAACUUUGUUAACAAAUGACAUGUUAUUAAAUCAUAAUU
rnacentral:lncRNA from 1 species